CCGGGGAGAAGUACGGUGAGCCUGUCAUUAUUCAGAGAGGCAAGAUCCUCUAUGUUGAGAAGGAUCAUGAUGGGCUCCUCGGUGUUCUCCAGG
ensembl:miRNA MIR433 microRNA 433